rnacentral:rRNA from 1 species
GAUGAACGCUGGCGGUAUGCUUAACACAUGCAAGUCGAACGGACUCUUCGGAGUUAGUGGCGGACGGGUGAGUAACGCGUGAGAAUCUGGCUUUGGGUUCGGGACAACCACUGGAAACGGUGGCUAAUACCGGAUGUGCCGAGAGGUAAAAGAGAAAUUGCCUGAAGAUGAGCUCGCGUCUGAUUAGCUAGUUGGUGAGGUAAAGGCUCACCAAGGCAGCGAUCAGUAGCUGGUCUGAGAGGAGGACCAGCCACACUGGGACUGAGACGCGGCCCAGACUCCUACGGGAGGCAGCAGUGGGGAAUUGUCCGCAAUUGGCGAAAGCCUGACGAAGCAAUACCGCGUGAGGGAAGAAGGCUCUUGGGUUGUAAACCUCUUUUCUUAGGGAAGAACAAAAUGACGGUACCUAAGGAAUCAGCAUCGGCUAACUCCGUG